rnacentral:tRNA from 1 species
GGGGCGGUAGCUCAGUCGGUUAGAGCAGAGGACUCAUAAUCCUUUGGCCGUGGGUUCGAGCCCCACCCGCCCCACCA